UCGCAUGCACAGAGAAGAGACCUUCCAUCCAGCGUUUUUAGUCCUGGUCGUUUUUGAACCUGGAACUAAAGGUCCUCUAGUCCCGCUUGAAAACACAACCCGGAACUAAAGGGGAGGGCCCUUUAGUCCCGGUUAAAACCAACAAUUGGGACUACAUCUCUUCGUACCGGCCUGGCAGCCUUUAUCACCCCACUGCCCUCAUCUCUCUCCCCCACUACCUUAUCCUUUCCCCACCACCGACUCUUUCUCUCCCUCUACCGCUUCCUCUCCAUCUCCUACUCUCUGUCCUCCCUCCACUGGCUGCCGUCGCCGCGCGAGGCCUCCCCGGCCAGGCCCUAGCCGCUGGCGCGUGGCCCGCCGGCCAUGCGAGCGCACGAGCUCUCCCCGACCGGCCCAUGGUCGGUCGGCGCGCAUGUGGGCGAGAUGGCGAGCGGGGGAGCCUGUGGAUACGAGAAGUGGGUGAGAUGAUUUGUUUGUGAAUGAUUUUGUGCUAUGUUGUGAAUCAAAUCGAACUCAUGUGUUGUGAAUCAAAUUGAACUCAUGUGUUGUGAAUCACAAUCUUGUGCGCUCUUACUUUAAUUCGUGAAGUGUUAAUUGUUUUGAUUAUCUUUGUGGUGGAGUUGGAGCUCAAGGAGGUGGUACAGUAGUCGAGGCGGAGCUGGGCGCACGGCGGCACAAGCAGGAACCGGGGAGGGGGGCAUUUUUUUAUUUUUUUGAACCUUUAAUCCCAGGUCGGUUUUCCACCGGUGAUGGAAAAUGGUGCCUCGUUUUCCUCAUGCUCGACUGUGGCAGUGACAAAUGCUCGAAGCGACAAUGAAG